rnacentral:rRNA from 1 species
GUGAGGAAUAUUGGUCAAUGGGCGAGAGCCUGAACCAGCCAAGUAGCGUGCAGGAAGACUGCCCUAUGGGUUGUAAACUGCUUUUAUGCGGGGAUAAAGUGGCGUACGUGUACGCUAUUGCAGGUACCGCAUGAAUAAGGACCGGCUAAUUCCGUGCCAGCAGCCGCGGUAAUACGGAAGGUCCAGGCGUUAUCCGGAUUUAUUGGGUUUAAAGGGAGCGCAGGCGGGCCUUUAAGCGUGUUGUGAAAUGUACCGGCUCAACCGGUGAGUUGCAGCGCGAACUGGAGGUCUUGAGUGAGUUCGAUGUGGGCGGAAUUCGUGGUGUAGCGGUGAAAUGCUUAGAUAUCACGAAGAACUCCGAUUGCGAAGGCAGCCCACAAGGCCUUUACUGACGCUAAAGCUCGAAGGUGCGGGUAUCGAACAGGAUUAGAAACCCUUGUAGUCC